UACGUAGGGUGCAAGCGUUAUCCGGAAUUAUUGGGCGUAAAGAGCUCGUAGGCGGUUUGUCGCGUCUGCUGUGAAAACCCGAGGCUCAACCUCGGGCCUGCAGUGGGUACGGGCAGACUAGAGUGCGGUAGGGGAGAUUGGAAUUCCUGGUGUAGCGGUGGAAUGCGCAGAUAUCAGGGGGAACACCGAUGGCGAAGGCAGAUCUCUGGGCCGUAACUGACGCUGAGGAGCGAAAGCAUGGGGAGCGAACAGG
rnacentral:rRNA from 1 species